CCUGCCUCUUUGUUCAUCUGUACGUAACAGACGGGCUUAGUUUCCAGACUGUUGGUGCCUCUCCAUCGGAGGGCUUGGUCCAUCCAGUCCCAGUUUAUUUGUAUCCGAGUCUGUCAUUUCUUCGUUCCCCAUUAUGUCACCCCAGUUAGGUCACUCCCAAAGGCAAGCAGACUGCAAUCACACUUUAUGAAAUAUCACUAUACUAUCUUUGUCCCAAUUUCCCUUGGAAUGAGAGGAAAACCCUCAUCCUGAGCCAAUGACUUCGUCAGAGAAACGAUGAUUGUUUGAAAAGGGAUCCGCUGCUUUCUAUAGGGAUGUGUUUAAAAUGUUGGCCUUCUACAGUAAGGUCAUGAGUCCUUUGACAGGGCAUGGCACCCCAACUCCCUACCCUGGAGAAUGGGUUCCCUUAGGACAGCUUGGCACAGUCUCAUUGCUGUCCCUUGCCUAGAGCACUGGAGCUGGCCUCCGGUGAUAUGGAAGAUGUUUACCUCCAAGGCUCAGUCUCUUCCUCAUUCUCACAGCUGCCACCCCAUCUUCAUUCAGAUAAACCCACACUUUAUAAAAGGAAAGAGCUGUUGUAACUCUUGUUCAGGCACGUGUCUUUUAUUGUGUCCAGUACUGACCCGUUGAAUUGGUUUAGUCUGCUCAAAAUGAACUCCUAAGACAUUCUACUAGCAGCUUCCAAGUCCUCACGGCCUGGCCAACAAUGUGGAGAAGAAGGGUUUGCAUGGGAGACACAGUCGUUGACAGUGGGGAAGGCUGUGUCACAAGUGUGGUCCAGAUGCCAGGCAGAUGGGUGUCUUCCUUUGGAACGGUUGUGUGCUUCAUUCCUGGAAGGGCAGGCUAUUUACUUACUGGAGGUUAUCUUGUUGGUACCAGUCCUUCUAUAAUACUAGAAAUCUUGUUUUUGUUGUGGGUGAGUAUCAACAGAGACCACAGAGAUCUAGAAAUCUAUCACACUUUGUAGCCCUUUCUAGUUCUUAAAAAAUUGAUAUUCCUAUUUGACCUUUGUUCUAGUUGCUCUGAACUAACACCAAAAACACCAAAAGCAACCCAAGUAUGUUACUUUCCUAUUGCUGCGAUAAAACAUGAUGGCCAAAGCAACUUAUAAAGUACAUCAUUUAAUUUGACUUAUGGUUCCAGAGAAUUAGGAUCCAUUAUGGCAGAGUGAAGGAACAUCUGAGAGCUUGCAUCUUGAUCCACAACCACAAAGCAAGGAGAGCUGACUGGCUAUCCCAUGAGUCUUUCAAAAUUUUAAAGCCUGCCCCCAGUGACACACCUCCUCCAAGAAGGCAAUACCUGGCAGAAACUAAAGCUUGGAGGUUGGAUAGCCUGGAGUCCUCAUGCUAGAUGGAGAGCUUCAGCCCCAGACCCUCCAGCACCGGCCGUGGAGAGGAGAGAUGAGAAGCGCUGAGACACUAAGAUUGUUCUCAGAAAUGGUUCUAGCCGUGCGGGAGACGAUAUUACAGAGCUGCGGAUGAAGCAUGGGGAGGAGAUGGUGGAGACCAAUAGCUAUCUGACUUUUAUUAAAUUAUAUUCUCACUGGUCA